UGUUUUCGUGUUCCUCUCUGCCUGCCUAUUGGCUUAUUUUUUCUCGCCGCCGUUCUUCAUGUCCAGAUUAUGCCCAUGGCCGUAUAUGCUCCAUCUCUGGGGUCAUCGGGUUACUUUCCUGGGUCUGCUUCUAUUGUAUGGUACAAGUGAAUCUGCUGGAAUUACAAGGACUAAUAUAUGCUAAGAAGCUUAUUGUUGAAGAUGCUGCUGGUGCAUUUGCAAAGAUUGCGGUAGCGCCACUAGAGAGGGUCAAAGAACUUACUUCAGGCUCGAACCGGAGGGUUUCAAUCCCUUGGGAUCAUCGGAUCCUUGAGGAAGUUUUGGAAAUACAAGUGAAUUCAAGGUUUUUACAAAU